CAGUAGCCGCGGUAAAACGUAGGGUGCAAGCGUUAAUCGGAAUUACUGGGCGUAAAGCGUGCGCAGGCGGUUAUAUAAGACAGAUGUAAAAUCCCCGGGCUCAACCUGGGAACUGCAUUUGUGACUGUAUAGCUAGAGUACGGCAGAGGGGGAUGGAAUUCCGCGUGUAGCAGUGAAAUGCGUAGAUAUGCGGAGGAACACCGAUGGCGAAGGCAAUCCCCUGGGCCUGUACUGACGCUCAUGCACGAAAGCGUGGGGAGCAAACAGGAUUAGAUACCCCCGUAGUCCCUGUCUCUUAUAC
rnacentral:rRNA from 1 species